rnacentral:rRNA from 1 species
GACGAACGUUGGCGGCGUGCUUAAUACAUGCAAGUCAACUGAAGCAGUGGUAGCAAUAUCGCUGUGGAGGUGGCGCACGGGUGAGUAACACGUAGGUAAUCUGCCUUCAGGUCUGGCAUAACUCCGGGAAACCGGGGCUAAUAGCAGAUGAUGCAGCGGCUCGACAUCGAGACAGUUGUUAAAGCUAUGGCGCCUGAAGAUGAGCCUGCGUCUGAUUAGCUAGUUGGCGGGGUAACGGCCCACCAAGGCAACGAUCAGUAGCUGGUCUGAGAGGAUGAUCAGCCACACUGGAACUGAGACACGGUCCAGACUCCUACGGGAGGCAGCAGUAAGGAAGAUUGCUCAAUGGGAGAAAUCCUGAAGCAGCAACGCCGCGUGAGGGACGAAGGGCUUUUGCUUGUAAACCUCUGUAGUGAGAGAAGAAAAUCCCAAUCUUUGGGACAUGAUGGUAUCUCAAAAGUAAGCCCCGGCUAACUACGUG